UAUUAUUGCCCUGCUACUAAUACUAAUUUUCCAAAAAAACAUUGAAUGUGUAAAAAUAAUCUUUUAGUUGGAGUAAAAAAUCUUGCCAAAGUUAAUUGGGUGGCCUAUUAACCCGAAAUACUUAACUUAAUCACAACAGAAAUGAAGUGCCGACAACACAAAUGUGGCCUCCUUGUUGGAUUAUUCAUUAGUAAGAAUUGUUCUGGUUCCUAAAUCUAUGUUAGGUAGGAUGGAUACAACCAUUAUUCUUGAAGGUGCAUAUCCAAAAUCAAGUAAAAACAAUAUUUCAAAUGAUGGCCCAAACAACCAUCUAACUUUAUGUUAGGAAAGUCAUAAACUACACAUCAUUCUGAUUUAGAAGUCAUAUAAUACCUUUUGGUCCUCAGAGCCAUUCUUCUCUUUUCUUUCCUUGUCGUGAAGUGCGGUAUAAACUUUGAAGUACCAAGAGCUGCAAAUUGAACUCAGAAGUCAAAAUAGGUCGUACGAACAAAACAAAAUAAACCUUUAUCUAUAAUGAAAGUUGAGUGCAAAACUACUAUACAGUAAAGCCAUGGAAUUUCAAAUAUAAGCCGGGAUGGGGAGAUGCGAUGUAGAGAAACAUAGCUAAAUAUAAGAAUGAAGCACUUAGGCUUGCGAAACACUGAACAACAUUGCCCUAAGGAUCAGAUCAAGUUCUUUGCUAACUGGUCACUCACAUGCUCUUCUUGGCCAUUCUCUGGAUUUAUGGAGAAGAUCCCUUGAACCUAAGAAUGCAAAAUGAGAAAAAUCAUGUUGAUUCAGACCUUAUUGAUAUACAAAAGGAGAAAUCUAUGUAUUUUGACUUUCUCUACGAUUCUAUAUUUGAACUACCUAUGAAGAAAGCUUUCGUUUACCAAACAAAUACACCUUUUGUGUGUCGCUGCUUAUUUGAAUCUUACACUUAGUCACCUUCAAAUAUCAAUUUGUCUUCUAGCUAGUUAAGUGUGCAUAUUGAAUCUUGAAGUAUAUAAUUCCACAGAUAAAAAAUUACCCCAAAUCAUAAAUCAAAGUAUAUAAUUCCAAAGGCUGAAACCCUAAAUCAAAGUCAUAUACAAUUCCGCAGACACUAAAAUAUCUAAACUCCCUUUAAUUCACCAUAUAUAAUUCCGCAGAUAAAAAAAUGACUCCAAAUCAUAAAAGGAAAUCAAUGAGAAAUUCAUGAAAGGCAGCAAAAAAAAUGAUAAGAAAAUACUGUUGUAGAUCAUAUUGGAGUUUUAGCCGCUGAUACUGACCUUUUCAACACUUCUUGUAUCAUGCCCUUGCUCAUGAACCUCUCCGCCAUUGUCUUUACUUGGAGGACCGAUCUUCCCUGCAGCAACAUCAUCCUGAAAGUCACAACCAAAACAUAUCAUAACCAAGCAACAAUCUCAUAGUCGAUCAGUGAUCAUUUAUGUUGCAGAUCUUUGCUGCAUUCCCACCACUCAAGGGGCGUCAUUCAUUAUACUACCAACAUCCUCCUGCAGUGAACAACCAAAUUAGAAAAACAGUGGUCUCGUGAUUAUUCAAGGAGCCAUUUUUCUCAAAACCAACACCCCCUGAAAUCAAUAACCAAACCAGACUAACUAACCAGCAAUCCCACCAAACAUCAAUAACCACAAUUUUCACACCUUCACUGCAUCUGCGCCGUCAUUAUCUAGUGUCAACAUUCCCCCGCAAUCAAUAAUUUUACUACUCAGGCGGUCUCGUUGGUGGGCAACCUGCAGAAGCGAAUAGCUUGAGAACCUUUGCAUCUGCGCCGUCAUUAUCUAGUGUCAACAUUCCCCCGCAAUCAAUAAUUUUACUACUCAGGCGGUCUCGUUGGUGGGCAACCUGCAGAAGCGAAUAGCUUGAGAACCUUUGCCUCCUGAGCGGUGGCGCCCUCGCCCUCCCUGGCCAGGAGGCCUGUCCGAGGCAUGCCGCGGGGGUUGAUGACGAUGCUGGGCAGCCGCUCGAUGUCCCAGCCGAGCACGCUGCAUAUAACAGACCCAACACGCUCAGAGGCAAAGAACAAAGGGAAAAGUGAGAGAGCAAUGAGGAGGCACCUGAGGUGAGGCGAGGCCAGUGACGGGCAACGGCGAUGACACUCUGACCUUGAUCCAGUCACGAGAAACCCCGAUCCACCAGCGCCUUGUGCUUCCCCGUGGAUGACGCCCAGCUUCCUCCCGUCGACGGCGCGACGAUCCACUGCUCCGCUGGCUCGUGCUCCUCCUCGCCGCGUCUCCUCCGCGUGCGGCGCCGACGGACUCCGGACGCAUCUAGGCCAGACGGCGACAGAGACGGGCGGCACAGAGGAGAGGAGGAGGACGGGCGGCGGCGACACAGAGGAGGAGGAAGACGGGCAACGGCAGUGCAGAGGAGAGGAGGAGGAUGGGCAGCGGUGCCGCAGAGGAGAGGAGGAGGACGGGUGGCGGCGGCUCAGAGGAGAGGAGGAGGUAGGGUUACGGGAGGGGAAGCCGCGAGGGGAGGACGGAGCGGAGCUGCGCGUGUGCGGGAGGUGGCUUGCUGCACUUAUAUGCCACCAGGUGAAAUGACGAAAUUACCCUUAGCGGGCCACCAAAUUUACAGGCGGUGGCAUGACGACCCCGAUUAAAUGACUAAAAUACCCUGGUGCUCUGUUUGUAAAGCGUCCCUAAAGCGUCGCUUAAGCGACGCUUAAGCGUUAGAGCGCCCUCCAGGCUCAAAGCGUCCAACUCGCUUUAGACAUGUGUCUAAGGCGUCCGCCUUAGACACUAAAGCGUCUGAAGCGCCUGCUUAGGCAUCCUGAUUGGCGCUUUAAGGCAGAGAGGACGCCUUAGACUUGCCAGGCAGGGUACAGAGAUUCCUGGCAGGGAAACAGGGCUGGGCUCACAUUUGAAACAGUUACAGGAGGGGAAAGAAAGAGAGAGAACCAAAACCAGAGCGUGCAAAUAUCCAGGCUUUCAGCUCUUUCCUCUCUCCUCUGGCAGCAGCUUCCUCAGAUCUGCACCAGCCUUUUCUGCUCUGUUGUGUGUUAUGCUAUGCACAACUCCUCUGCUGUUAGGUGCUACUGCCUCUCUUAUAGCAAUUGGCUAGUUGCUUGCUGCUUAGUGGAUGGAUCAGAAUAUAUGGGCUCACUGGUGGAUUAGAAUCAACAUAUAUAUGUCUCACUAAAUGGUGCUCUAUUAUACUGCCCAUCAGGUUCAGAGUCUGUCUAAAGCGUCGCCUCGCUUUACGCUUUAUCGCUUAAGCAGUGAGGCGCCCCCCUAGCGCCUCGCUUCGCUUUACCGCUUUAUAAACAUAGCCCUGGUGUGGGCAAAGAUAUUACAUUCUGAUGCAAUUGAAAUUUUAUCCGACGGCCGAAGUUGAUCCGGUAAAUAUCCAACGACCCACAGCGAUUUGGAUCGAGAUCCGACAGUCUGUGUCGCGAGGAGAUUCCGAUCCGACGGCUGAAAAUCCAAACGCCUGAGGAGGCUCCAUUUCGGUUCUGACUCUAACAAGGGUAAGCAAAAAAUCUUGCCAAAGUUAAUUGGGUGGCCUAUUAACCCGAAAUACUUAACUUAAUCACAACAGAAAUGAAGUGCCAACAACACAAAUGUGGCCUCCUUGUUGGAUUAUUCAUUAGUAAGAAUUGUUUUGGUUCCUAAAUCUAUGUUAGAUAGGAUGGAUACAACCAUUAUUCUUGAAGGUGCAUAUGCAAAAUCAAGUAAAAAUAAUAUUUCAAAUGAUGGCCCAAACAACCAUCCAACUUUAUGUUAGGAAAGUCAUAAACUACACAUCAUUCUGAUUUAGAAGUCAUAUAAUACCUUUUGGUCCUCAGAGCCAUUCUUCUCUUUUCUUUCCUUGUCGUGAAGUGCGGUAUAAACUUUGAAGUACCAAGAGCUGCAAAUUGAACUCAGAAGUCAAAAUAGGUCGUAUAAACAAAACAAAACAAACCUUUAUCUAUAAUGAAAGUUGAGUGCAAAACUACUAUACAGUAAAGCCAUGGAAUUUCAAAUAUAAGCCGGGAUGGGGAGAUGGGAUGUAGAGAAACAUAGCUAAAUAUAAGAAUGAAGCACUUAGGCUUGCGAAACACUGAACAACAUUGCCCUAAGGAUCAGAUCAAGUUCUUUGCUCAACUGGUCACUCACAUGCUCUUCUUGGUCAUUCUCUGGAUUUAUGGAGAAGAUCCCUUGAACCUAAGAAUGCAAAAUGAGAAAAAUCAUGUUGAUUCAGACCUUAUUGAUAUACAAAAGGAGAAAUCUAUGUAUUUUGACUUUCUCUAAGAUUCUAUAUUUGAACUACCUAUGAAGAAAGCUUUCGUUUACCAAACAAAGACACCUUUUGUGUGUCGCUGCUUAUUUGAAUCUUACACUUAGUCACCUUCAAAUAUCAAUUUGUCUUCUAGCUAGUUAAGUGUGCAUAUUGAAUCUUGAAGUAUAUAAUUCCACAGAUAAAAAAUUACCCCAAAUCAUAAAUCAAAGUAUAUAAUUCCGAAGGCUGAAACCCUAAAUCCAAGUCAUAUACAAUUCCGCAGACACUCAAAUAUCUAAACUCCCUUUAAUUCACCAUAUAUAAUUCCGCAGAUAAAAAAAUGACUCCAAAUCAUAAAAGGAAAUCAAUGAGAAAUUCAUGAAAGGCAGCAAAAAAAUGAUAAGAAAAUACUGUUGUAGAACAUAUUGGAGUUUUAGCCGCUGGUACUGACCUUUUCAACACUUCUUGUAUCAUGCCCUUGCUCAUGAACCUCUCCGCCAUUGUCUUUAGUUGGAGGACCGAUCUUCCCUGCAGCAACAUCAUCGUGAAAGUCGCAACCAAAACAGAUCAUAACCAAGCAACAAUCUCAUAGUCGAUCAGUGAUCAUCUAUGUUGCAGACCUUUGCUGCAUUCCCACCACUCAAGGGGAAGUCAUUCAUUAUACUACCAACAUCCUCCUGCAAUGAACAACCAAAUUAGAAAAACAGUGGUCUCCUGAUUAUUCAAGGAGCCAUUUUUCUCAAAAC
rnacentral:lncRNA from 1 species